rnacentral:lncRNA from 1 species
AGACAGGGUUUCACCAUGUUGGCCAGGCUGGUCUCGAACUCCUGACCUCGUGAUCCGCCCGCUUUGGCCUCCUAAAGUCCUGGGAUUACAGGCAUGAGCCACUGUACCCAGCCAGUCUUGAUUAACUUAAUGGAAAUAUUUACAGAGAUUCUUUCUCUUCUGGGUUCUAGCGUCUUUUCUGUAACCUCUGCAGGCGCAGGAAUGGGAGGCAGCAGCUGGGGAAGCCAGGGUCUCUGGCAGUCCUUGUCUCUGGGCGGUGAUCCAGAGAGAGAGAGAACACGAUUGUCUCAGCACUGCGUCUUCUUCUGAGUCGUCUUGAAGGAGCAAUUCCAGAGCGUCUCGGUGUUAAACAUCAUGUUGUGAAUGACUCAGUGAUCUCUGACCCAGAGACCUUGGGGAUAAAGGAGGGGAGGUACGGAGAAGCUCUUCGAAUGGAUGUUACCGGGGUGUCAGUGUUCUUUGAGGCCACAGGCUAUGUGUCACCAAAUUGAAGGGGUGGCCUGCCCCUCCACAC